UACGUAGGUGGCGAGCGUUGUCCGGAAUUACUGGGUGUAAAGGGCGUGUAGGCGGGGAUGCAAGUCAGAUGUGAAAUACCGAGGCUUAACUUCGGGGGUGCAUCUGAAACUGUAUUUCUUGAGUGUCGGAGAGGAAAGUGGAAUUCCUAGUGUAGCGGUGAAAUGCGUAGAUAUUAGGAGGAACACCAGUGGCGAAAGCGACUUUCUGGACGAUAACUGACGCUGAGGCGCGAAAGCGUGGGGAGCAAACAGGAUUAGAUACCCUGGUAGUCCACGCCGUAAACGAUGGAUACUAGGUGUAGGAGGUAUCGACCCCUUCUGUGCCGCAGUUAACACAAUAAGUAUCCCACCUGGGGAGUACGGCCGCAAGGCUGAA
rnacentral:rRNA from 1 species